GGGCGCGGCUGUGCCCGUGUCCUAUUUUUGGCACACGGAGGCCGCCCGCAAAGUCUGGGGCCUUUCCGAGUCCGGCGGACGAACUUCGCCCACGCCCCCCACCAAGGCUAUAGGCCACCCGUUUUUCGGCCAAUUUUCCGCUGGGGGGUGUUGGCGCCCCGACCUUCGGGCGCUCAUUUUUGGGCGCGGCUGUGCCCGUGGCCUAUUUUUGGCGCACGGAGGCCGUCCGCAAAGUCUGGGGCCAUUCCGAGUCCGGCGGACGAACUUCGCCCACGCCCCCCGCCAAGGCUAUAGCCCACCCGUUUUUUGGCCAUUUUUCCGCUUGGGGGUGCUGGCGCCCCGACCUUCGGGCGCUCAUUUUUGGGCGCGGCUGUGCCCGUGGCCUAUUUUUGGCACACGGAGGCCGCCCGCAAAGUCUGGGGCCAUUCCGAGUCCGGCGGACGAACUUCGCCCACGCCCCCCACCAAGGCUAUAGCACACCCGUUUCAGGGCCAUUUUUCCGCUGGGGGGUGUUGGCGCCCCGACCUUCGGGAACUCAUUUUUGGGCGCGGCUGUGCCCGUGGCCUAUUUUUGGCACACGGAGGCCGCCCGCAAAGUCUGGGGCCAGUCCGAGUCCGGCGGACGAACUUCGCCCACGCCCCCCACCAAGGCUAUAGGCCACCCAUUUUUCGGCCAAUUUUCCUCUGGGGGGUGUUGACGCCCCAACCUUCGGGCGCUCAUUUUUUGGCGCGGCUGUGCCCGUGGCCUAUUUUUGGCGCACGGAGGCCGCCCGCAAAGUCUGGGGCCAUUCCGAGUCCGGCGGACGAACUUCGCCCACGCCCCCCACCAAGGCUAUAGCCCACACGUUUUUUGGCCAUUUUUCCGCUGGGGGGUGUUGGCGCCCCGACCUUCGGACGCUCAUUUUUGGGCGCGGCUGUGCCCGUGGCCUAUUUUUGGCACACGGAGGCCGCCCGCAAAGUCUGGGGCCAUUCCGAGUCCGGCGGACGAGCAUCGCCCACGCCCCCCACGAAGGCUAUAACCCACCCGUUUUUUGGCCAUUUAUCCGCUGGCGACUGUUGGCGCCCUGACCUUCGGGCGCUCAUUUUUGGGCGCGGCUGUGCCCGUGGCCUAUUUUGGGCACACGGAGGUCGCCCGCAAAGUCUGGGGCCAUUCCGAGUCCGGCGGACGAACUUCGCCCACGCCCCCCGCCAAGGCUAUAGCACACCCGUUUCUCGGCCAAUUUUCCGCUGGGGGGUGUUGGCGCCCCGACCUUCGGGCGCUCAUUUUUGGGCGCGGCUGUGCUCAUGGCCUAUUUUUGGCACACGGAGGCCGCCCGCAAAGUCUGGGGCCUUUCCGAGUCCGGCGGACGAACUUCGCCCACGCCCCCCGCCAAGGCUAUAGGCCACCCGUAUUUCGGCCAAUUUUCCGCUGGGGGGUGUUGGCGCCCCGACCUUAGGGCGCUCAUUUUUGGGCGCGGCUGUGCCCGUUGCCUAUUUUUGGCGCACGGAGGCCGCCCAUAAAGUCUGGGGCCAUUCCGAGUCCGGCGGACGAACUUCGCCCACGCCCCCCGCCAAGGCUAUAGCCCACCCGUUUUUUGGCCAUUUUUCCGCUGGGGGGUGUUGGCGCCCCGACCUUCGGGCGCUCAUUUUUGGGCGCGGCUGUGCCCGUGGCCUAUUUUUGGCACAAGGAGGCCGCCCGCAAAGUCUGGGGCCAUUCCGGGUCCGGCGGACGAACUUCGCCCACGCCCCCCGCCAAGGCUAUAGCACACCCGUUUCUUGGCCAUUUUUCCGCUGGGGGGUGCUGGCGCCCCGACCUUCGGGCGCUCAUUUUUGAGCGCGGAUGUGCCCGUGGCCUAUUUUUGGCACACAGAGGCCGCCCGCAAAGUCUGGGGCCAUUCCGAGUCCGGCGGACGAACUUCGCCCACGCCCCCCACCAAGGCUAUAGGCCACCCGUUUCNNNNNNNNNNNNNNNNNNNNNNNNNNNNNNNNNNNNNNNNNNNNNNNNNNNNNNNNNNNNNNNNNNNNNNNNNNNNNNNNNNNNNNNNNNNNNNNNNNNNCGCCCCGACCUUCGGGCGUUCAUUUUUGGGCGCGGCUGUGCCCUUGGCCUGUUUUUGGCACACGGAGGCCGCCCGUAAAGUCUGGGGCCAUUCCGAGUCCGGCGGACGAACUUCGCCCACGCCCCCCACCAAGGCUAUAGCCCACACGUUUUUUGGCCAUUUUUCCGCUGGGGGGUGUUGGCGCCUCGACCUUCGGAUGCUCAUUUUUGGGCGCGGCUGUGCCCGUGUCCUAUUUUUGGCGCACGGAGGCCGCCCGCAAAGUCUGGGGCCAUUCCGAGUCCGGCGGACGAGCAUCGCCCACACCCCCCACGAAGGCUAUAGCCCACCCGUUUCUGGUCCAUUUUUCCGCUGGGGGGUGCUGGCGCCCCGACCCUCGGGCGCUCAUUUUUGGGCGCGGCUGUGCCCGUGGCCUAUUUUUGGCACACGGAGGCCGCCCGCAAAGUCUGGGGCCAUUCCGAGUCUGGCGGACGAACUUUGCCCACGCCCCCCACCAAGGCUAUAGGCCACCCGUUUUUCGGCCAAUUUUCCGCUGGGGGGUGUUGGCACCCCGACCUUCGGGCGCUCAUUUUUGGGCGCGGCUGUGCUCGUGGCCUAUUUUUGGCGCACGGAGGCCGCCCGCAAAGUCUGGGGCCAUUCCGAGUCCGGCGGACGAACUUCGCCCACGCCCCCCACCAAAGGCUAUAGCCCACCCGUUUUUUGGCCAUUUUUCCGCUGGGGGGUGUUGGCGGCCCGACCUUCGGGCGCUCAUUUUUGGGCGCGGCUGUGCCCGUGGCCUAUUUUUUGCACACGGAGGCCGCCCGCAAAGUCUGGGGCCAUUCCGAGUCCGGCGGACGAACUUCGCCCACGCCCCCCUCCAAGGCUAUAGCCCACCCGUUUUUUGGCCAUUUUUCCGCUGGGGGGUGUUGGCGCCCCGACCUUCGGGCGCUCGUUUUUGGGCGCGGCUGUGCCCGUGGCCUAUUUUUGGCACACGGAGGCCGCCCGCAAAGUCUGGGGCCAUUCCGAGUCCGGCGGACGAACUUCGCCCACGCCCCCCACCAAGGCUAUAGCCCACACGUUUUUUGGCCAAUUUUCCGCUGGGGGGUGUUGGAACCCGACCUUCGGGAGCUCAUUUUUGGGCGCGGCUAAGCCCGUGGCCUAUUUUUGGCACACGGAGGCCGCCCGCAAAGUCUGGGGCCAUUCCGAGUCCGGCGGACGAACUUCGCCCACGCCCCCCGCCAAGGCUAUAGCACACCCGUUUUUUGGCCAUUUUUCCGCUGGGGGGUGUUGGCGGCCCGACCUUCGGGCGCUCAUUUUUGGGCGCGGCUGUGCCCGUGGCCUAUUUUUGGCACACGGAGGCCGCCCGCAAAGUCUGGGGCCAUUCCGAGUCCGGCGGACGAACUUCGCCCACGCCCCCCACCAAGGCUAUAGCCCACCCGUUUUUUGGCCAUUUUUCCGCUGGGGGGUGUUGGCACCCCGACCUUCGGGGGCUGAUUUUUGGGCGCGGCUGUGCCCGUGGCCUAUUUUUGGCACACAGAGGCCGCCCGCAAAGUCUGGGGCCAUUCCGAGUCCGGCGGACGAACUUCGCCCACGCCCCCCACCAAGGCUAUAGCCCACCCGUUUUUUGGCCAUUUUUCGGCUGGGGGGUGUUGGCACCCCGACCUUCGGGGGCUGAUUUUUGGGCGCGGCUGUGCCCGUGGCCUAUUUUUGGCACACGGAGGCCGCCCGCAAAGUCUGGGGCCAUUCCGAGUCCGGCGGACGAACUUCGCCCACGCCCCCCACCAAGGCUAUAGCCCACCCGUUUUUUGGCCAUUUUUCCGCUGGGGGGUGUUGGCACCCCGACCUUCGGGGGCUGAUUUUUGGGCGCGGCUGUGCCCGUGGCCUAUUUUUGGCACACGGAGGCCGCCCGCAAAGUCUGGGGCCAUUCCGAGUCCGGCGGACGAACUUCGCCCACGCCCCCCACCAAGGCUAUAGCCCACCCGUUUUUUGGCCAUUUUUCCGCUGGGGGGUGUUGGCACCCCGACCUUCGGGGGCCGACUUUUGGGCGCGGCUGUGCCCGUGGCCUAUUUUUGGCACACGGAGGCCGCCCGCAAAGUCUGGGGCCAUUCCGAGUCCGGCGGACGAACUUCGCCCACGCCCCCCACCAAGGCUAUAGCCCACCCGUUUUUUGGCCAUUUUUCCGCUGGGGGGUGUUGGCACCCCGACCUUCGGGGGCUGAUUUUUGGGCGCGGCUGUGCCCGUGGCCUAUUUUUGGCACACGGAGGCCGCCCGCAAAGUCUGGGGCCAUUCCGAGUCCGGCGGACGAACUUCGCCCACGCCCCCCACCAAGGCUAUAGCCCACCCGUUUUUUGGCCAUUUUUCCGCUGGGGGGUGUGGCACCCCGA
rnacentral:lncRNA from 1 species